GCCGGUAUAGCUCAGUGGCCAGCGCGGCUUCUUUGUAAGAAGCGCGGCGUCCGUUCGAAUCGGACUUCCGGCACCA
rnacentral:tRNA from 1 species